rnacentral:rRNA from 1 species
UAGUACGGCGAGUGAGAGGGAAGAGCCCAAGAUUGAAAGCUGGCGUCUUCGGCGUCCGCAUUGUAAUCUCAAGAAGUGUUUUCCGCUUCGGACCAUGUCUAAGUCCCUUGGAAAAGGGCAUCAUAGAGGGUGAUAAUCCCGUACAUGGCAUGGAGCGCCCGUAGCUUUGUGAUACGCUUUCUAAGAGUCGAGUUGUUUGGGAAUGCAGCUCAAAAUGGGUGGUAAAUGCCAUCUAAGGCUAAAUAUUGGGGAGAGACCGAUAGCGAACAAGUACAGUGAUGGAAAGAUGAAAAGAACUUUGAAAAGAGAGUUAAACAGUACGUGAAAUUGCCAAAAGGGAAGGGUAGGAGGUCAGAGAUGCGGCCUGGGAUUCAGCCUUGCUUUUGCUUGGUGUUUUUCCCAGAUUGCAGGCCAACGUCGGUUUUGGGCACUGGAGAAGGGUAGGAGGAACGUGGCACCUCUCGGGGUGUGUUAUAGCCUCCUACUGGAUACAGCGACCGAGACCGAGGACAGCAGCGUACUCGCAAGAGCGGGCCUUCGGGCACCUUUACGCUUAGGGCGUUGGCAUAAUGGCCCUCUACCACCCGUCUUGA